GCACCUGUGGCAUAUGGAAGUUCCCAGGCUCGGGGUCGAUCCAGAGCUACAGCUGCAAGCCUACACCACAGUCACAGCAACAAGGGAUCUGAGCCGAGUCUGUGACCUACACUCCAACUCAUGGCAAUGCCGGAUCCUUAAUCCACUGAGUGAGGUCACAGAUCAAACCCGCAUCCUUAUGAAUACUAGUUGGAUUCGUUUCUGCCGCACCACCAUGGGAACUCCCUUUGUGCAUCUUUAUGACGCUUAUAUUAUUUGCCCCACGCUUCUAGUGAAUAAAUCUGUAAGGAUGAUGUGAGGGACACAGGCCAUGCAGCCAGAGUGGGCUUCCCUGAGCUUGGAGGCCGGCUGGCUGGCUGCAAAGCACGUCCUUGCCUCAGUAUUUCCCUGCCGCUGGGCAUCCCCCUGAGCCCUGGCUUUCUGAAACCACAUACGGGUCCAGCACCGUCGUGUUGGCUGCAGGUCUCGCUGCUGGUCGCACGGGGGUUGAGGAUUCUACCAAAUUCCAAAGGUACACACACACAUUCAUACACACACAGACACGUAGUCUAUAGUCCAGGGAAAACUCUGUAGGAUCUGAGCACAUCCCUCUGGAUAUCCUUCACAGUAAGUAUAUUUGAUUUUUAGAGAUGAAUGGAAAGCAUGUGGAGUCUGCGACAUUGUGAGGCAUAAGAAGAGAUCUACGUCCAGUCUCAUUCCUGGUCCCUGACCCAAGGCUCCUAAAACCCCUGUAAAUUCCUAAGUAACAAGAGCACUAGGAGCAACUUUGUUCUAAUGAGGAGACUCUGGAGGGGGUCGUGGAUGGGGCUGGUCAACAGGAAGACCACGCCAUACUUAGAAGCUUGGAAUGUGCAGUCCCCUCCCGCUUCUCCAGCAAGGGGAGAGGGGCUAGAAAUGGAGUUCAUGCUUGAUCGCGCCUCCGCAGGGCAACUGCCAUAAAAUGCCCAUGGCAUGGGAUUCAGAGAGCUUCCAGGCAUAUGGACACGUCCACCAGGAGGAGGAGGCACCCCAAGUCCCCAGAAACAGAAGCUCCUGGGCUCCGGAUUCUCCCAGGCUUUGCCCCGCGUACCUCUUCCUCUGGCUGUUCAUCUGCAGCCUUUACCGUAUCCUUAAUGAGCUGGUAAGUGGAAGCGAAUGUUCCCCUAAGCGCUGUGAGCUGCUCUAGUAAAUUAUCCCAACCCAAGGAGGGAAUGCAGGAACCUCCGAUUCGUGGCCAAGUUAGACAGAAGGUGUGGGUCACCGGGGACCUAGCCUUGUGAUUGGCCUCGGACGUGGGGUGGGGGGGCAGUCUCCUGCGACUGAGCCCUUCACCUGAGGGAUCGGAUGCUAUUUCCAGGUAGACAGUCUCAGAACGGAGUUAAACUGCAGGACACCCAGCUGCUGUCAGAGAAUUGCUUGCUGACCAGACGGGUCAGACGUGAAGCAGUCUGUGUGACAGUAAAGGAUAAAGAUAGGAAAAAAAAAAAAAAGACUCAGUUUCUCCAAUACAGAGCAUUUGUAUGCUCUGGUUUCAUGGGCUGUGGAUUUAUUUAGUGGAUAAGGUGGUGAAGUGGGUAGUCAGGGUGGGGAAGGAAUGACAGAAGAAAGGUAUGAAUACAUGGAUGUAUUCAUGUCUUCUACCGCCCACCCUGAGCCCAGUACCCCACCUGGGACUGCUGCCCAGGUCCCCAGCUCGUCUAUGGCCACACUACAGGCAGAUGCUCUUAUCAUCCUUUUCCAGGGGAGGAAACCAAGGUCAGAAGAGAGAAAACUCCUCCACUAGUUAGUGGCAAAACUGGAACUGGAAUCUAAUGAGAGCUUUCUUGGGUCAAAACUUAAAAGACACACAAAGAAAGAUGCACGUGACUGCUGCAAAGCAAGGAGAUGAUUUUCUAAUAUGGCUCCAAGAACUGGCCCUGCAGGUAAUUUUAAACCCAUGAAUCUGAAAAUGUUUUGAGAAAUGGCAGCAGCAUCAUAAUAAAACUAAAGUUCCCAAGGAGACCAGCAUGAUGGGAACAAAUAUCUCGCUUGCCAGCCUCUGCAUUAUUUUUGUUUGAAGGCAGAGAAUGUUCUAGUGUGCACACCCACAGCAUAUGGAGCUUCCCAGGCUAGGGGUCAAACCAGAGCUAGAACUGCUGGGUUACACCACAGUCACAGCAACAUGGGAUCCAAACCGCGUCUUCGACCUACUACAUCAUAGUUCAUGGCAACACUGGAUCUUUAACCCACUGAGUGAGGCCAGGGAUUGAACCCGUGUCCUCAUGGGUACUAGUAGGGUUCAUUUCCACUGAGCAAUGACGGGAACUCCCUGGAUAUGAUUCUGGCACCAGUUUGGACCCGAAAGAUCUUUGUCAGCACCCUCACUCCAGGCAGGUGAAGCUCGGCUUCGGAGAUGGAGAGUUACUUGCUCAAGUUCACAAGGUGAAUUUAGGCAGAGCCUUGACUAACACCCAAGUGCUUGAGAAGGCAGAGCUGCCUCCCUGCAGCACACUGCUUGUUCCCCUCUGGUAAAGCUCCCUAACAACAAUAGUUAACGUUUAAACACACACACACACACAAACCAAGAAACUUUCUGGAGUUCCCGCUAUGGUGCAGUGGGUUAAGAAUCCCACUGCGGAGGUGCAGGUUCAAUCUCCAGCCCAGCGCAGUGGGGUAAAGGAUCUGGCAUUGCUGCAGAUGUGGUAAAGGUCGCAGCUGCAGCUUGGAUUCAGUCCCUGGCCCAGAACUGCCAUAUGCCCUGAGGCAGCCAUUAAAAACACACACACACACACACACAAAACCAUUCUACAAUAAACCAAGGCCCAGAGAAAUUAAAUAGUAGGGCCAUGUUAUAGAAUUAGGAAAUAGAGGCUCCAGGAUUUGAACCCAGGUCUGCCCACCUCUAGAACCCAUGCGUUUAAACAACCACCUCCUUUUGUCCCAGCUCCCUCGCCCUCUUCCUCUUCGGUCCCCCAGGAGCCUGGGAUAAGGCGCAUUCCACUUAAGCUCACCUUCCCCCCCCAACCAGUCACUUCCCUUCUUUUCUUGUUUAUCAACACAAAUAGCCUGUCCUCCUGGCACGUUUGUUUUGUCGGAGGCCUGCCUUAUUCCCUGGGAACCUGGGGGAACAAUGAGCACGGCCGAGCCGUCCGGAGCCCCGCCCCCAUCCUGGACGGCUUCCUCAGCUUCCCCUGCGCACGCCUGACCCCAGCAGAGACUGCGUGGAGGCCCCUCCAGCUUGUCUUGCAAAGUGCGUCAAUCACUUGUUUACUUGCUUUUCCUGCCUGACCCUGGGGGUUCCGCUGGUGUUGCUUCCCUCUGGAGGUUCUCUGGGGGUGAGCUUUGAUCUCCAGAGGGGAAGGGGCAGCAGGAAGACUGCGGCCAGAGAUGCUAGGAGUCUGUCAGCAUCUGACUCAUUCUGGCUGGGGGCGGGGGGAGCCCUCUCUUCAAGUAGCUUGAGGAUGCUGGUGAGAGCUGCCCAGCUCUGCCAGGCCCUGGAUGGAGGCCUUCCUUUUCUCUGGGACGGUUGGAAGAGGGAUAAAAAUUCCACACGUCAGAAGUAAAUUCCCCCAGGCCUUUCUGCCCUGAGCCAGCAGUAGGGCUCAUCGACUAAUAAACUGGUGUACAACCUGUCCCCUGAAAAGCCACAGCUGCAGGCCCCCCAUUGGAGGGAGAUGUUCUUAGAUGUGCCCCUUCCUUUGGAAAAGGCUGCUCGUAAAAACAACCCUCCAUACGGUCGGAUUUGAGAACCGGAAGGGAAGCGCCUCUGCAACGCUGCCUGAAACACCACCCCAUUAGACAGCUAUUUCUUUGGGCUCCUGAGGGCUUUCUGAUCCUCCAAAUCCAUAUUAACCCGAAAAUGUAAUCUAAAUAUUAAAACAUCGGUCGGCAUCCCAGCAGGAAAUAGAAGGGACACUCAAAAAUGUUGACUUUUAACUGGUAACUGCAGGUUACCAGUGAACUGAAGGUACAUGAUUUUGUGACUUCACAGGAUGGCUCUGCUUGCUAUGUAAAUUCUUACUAACAAG
rnacentral:lncRNA from 1 species